rnacentral:rRNA from 1 species
UACGGAGGGGGCAAGCGUUACUCGGAAUUAUUGGGCGUAAAGGGCGCGUAGGCGGUCGUGCGCGUCGAGGGUGAAAUCCCCGGGCUUAACCCGGGAGCUGCCUUCGAUACGGCACGGCUUGAGUCCGGGAGAGGGGAGCAGAAUUCCCAGUGUAGCGGUGAAAUGCGUAGAUAUUGGGAGGAAUACCGGUGGCGAAGGCGGCUCCCUGGACCGGUACUGACGCUGAGGCGCGAAAGCGUGGGUAGCAAACAGG